rnacentral:rRNA from 1 species
CAGCACCUCAAGUGGUCAGGAUGAUUAUUGGGCCUAAAGCAUCCGUAGCCUGCUUUGUUAGUUUUCGGUUAAAUCCAUACGCUCAACGUAUGGGCUGCCGGGAAUACUGCAAAGCUAGGGAGUGGGAGAGGUAGACGGUACUCGGUAGGAAGGGGUAAAAUCCUUUGAUCUAUUGAUGACCACCUGUGGCGAAGGCGGUCUACCAGAACACGUCCGACGGUGAGGGAUGAAAGCUGGGGGAGCAGACCGGAUUAGAUACCCGAGUAGUCC